rnacentral:rRNA from 1 species
UGGCUGGUACAACGAGUCGCAAGCCGGUGACGGCAAGCUAAUCUCUGAAAGCCAGUCUCAGUUCGGAUUGUAGGCUGCAACUCGCCUACAUGAAGUCGGAAUCGCUAGUAAUCGCGGAUCAGCACGCCGCGGUGAAUACGUUCCCGGGCCUUGUACACACCGCCCGUCACACCACGAGAGUUUGUAACACCCGAAGUCGGUGAGGUAACCGUAAGGAGCCAGCCGCCUAAGGUGGGAUAGAUGAUUGGGGUGAAGUCGUAACAAGGUAGCCGUAUCGGAAGGUGCGGUUGGAUCACCUCCU